GACGAACGCUGGCGGCGUGCUUAACACAUGCAAGUCGAACGAAGUGGCGAACGGGUGAGUAACGCGUAAUCAACCUGCCCUUCAGCGGGGGACAACAGUUGGACACUACUGCUACUACCGCAUACUGAAGGAGGGGAUUGCGUCUGAUUCGCGGGUUGGAGGGGUAACGGCCCACCAAGGCGAGGAUCAGUAGCCGGUCUGAUAGGAUGAACGGCCACAUUGGGACUGAGACACGGCCCAGACUCCUACAGGAGGCAGCAGGGGGGAAGCUUCCGGAAUGGACGAAAGGCUGACGGAGCAACGCCGCGUGAGGGAUGACGGCCUUCGGGUUGUAAAGCUCUGUUAAUCGGGACGCGGUACCGGAAUAGAAAGCCACGGCUAACUACGUGCCAGCAGCCGCGGUAAUUC
rnacentral:rRNA from 1 species